rnacentral:tmRNA from 1 species
GGCGAGACUCAAAACAGACGACUACACAUGUAGAACUGCGCGAAGAAGGCUUGUGGACGGGGGUUCAAAUCCCCCCAGCUCCACCA